rnacentral:snoRNA from 1 species
UGAUGAUGAUAAGGAAAAUUUUUGAGCAUAUCCUUAAAUCUCUCCCAAGCUUGGUAGAGAUUCUCUCAUUCUUUCUAUCUAAAACUUAAGAUCUCACUUCUUAAGCG